rnacentral:rRNA from 1 species
CAAUAGCGUAUAUUAAAGUUGUUGCAGUUAAAAAGCUCGUAGUUGGAUUUCGGGGCCCCGGGCGUUCGUUACGUUUCCUGCUGGACUUGUCCUGUGGGGCGUGGCGGGCGUCGGUCUCUGAGUCGGAUCGGUCCGCCGAGAGGCGUGUACUGACCGACGGCCCCUGUUGUCUCUCGGGUUGCCCGCCUGCACUUAACUGUUGCGGACGGGGAGUUCGGGACGUUUACUUUGAACAAAUUAGAGUGUUCCAAGCAGGCCGAUUGCUUUGAAUACAUUAGCAUGGAAUAAUGGAAUAGGGCUGCGUGAUUCGUUGCCUUCGGGUGGCGGGUCCUCGUGUCCUAUUUUGUUGGUUUGCACACCAAGGUAAUGAUUAAUAGGGAUAGUUGGGGGUAUUCGUAUUUAAUUGUCAGAGGUGAAAUUCUUGGAUUUAUGAAAGACGAACUACUGCGAAAGCAUUUACCAAAGAUGUUUUUCAUUUAAUCAAGAACG